GAAGAAGCGCCCAUUUCUCAUCCAUCAAAAUUCUACAUAAACUAAAACCCCUCUGAAAAUCCUAUUUCAAAUUUUAAAACUGCCUGCAG